AUUGAACGCUGGCGGCAGGCCUAACACAUGCAAGUCGAGCGGAUGAGGGGAGCUUGCUCCCUGAUUUAGCGGCGGACGGGUGAGUAAUGCGUAGGAAGCUGCCCGAUAGAGGGGGAUACCAGUUGGAAACGACUGUUGAUACCGCAUAAUGUCUACGGACCAAAGUGUGGGACCUUCGGGCCACAUGCUAUCGGAUGCGCCUACGUGGGAUUAGCUAGUUGGUGAGGUAAUGGCUCACCAAGGCGACGAUCUCUAGCUGGUUUGAGAGGAUGAUCAGCCACACUGGAACUGAGACACGGUCCAGACUCCUAUGGGAGGCAGCAGUGGGGAAUAUUGGACAAUGGGCGCAAGCCUGAUCCAGCCAUGCCGCGUGUGUGAAGAAGGCCUUCGGGUUGUAAAGCACUUUCAGCGAGGAGGAAGGGUGGUGUGUUAAUAGCACAUCAUUUUGACGUUACUCGCAGAAGAAGCACCGGCUAACUCUGUGCCAGCCGCCGCAGUAAUAC
rnacentral:rRNA from 1 species